AGCCGACAGACGAGUCCAAAAUAAGACGAAAUGCACAUCCCGGAU
rnacentral:hammerhead_ribozyme from 1 species